AGGCGCAGCCCCUGUUCGCGUCUGGGGGCAGCCCCGCCCUGCCUCGCUUCCGCGAAGCCAAUGAGCGCGAGCGUGCUGUUGCCAUGGUCCGGCGUCCGCGGCGCCUGCGUGGCGCUGAUGAAGGGCCGGCAGGGGACGGCGAGAGUGGCGGCCAUAUCGGCGACGCCGGGCGAGUCUGUGCCUCAGCACAGUGCGGGGGUCUCCGCUCCAGAGUGGGAGUGGGACGGCCAUGUGGGGGCUGGGACUGUGUCCUCGCCCCUCUUUCCCCACCUCGCUCUCUUCAGCUUGCUUGGUAGCGAGCUUCGCUCGGGGUGGGGUCUGCACGGUGCUGCCUCAGCCUGUUCGCCUCACCUGGAACGGCGAAGGAUAUGGACUUUAUGGCUAUCCUAAUUCCUUUUUUCAAUAUGAAGGGAAAUGGAAACAGGGGAAAGAACAUCGUAUGGAGGAAAAAAGCCCCACUAAGUAAUAAUUCCAAUUUGUUAUUACUAAGGUUAUGGAUGACUAAUUGAAAAGGGUGGACAAGCUUACCAAGGAUCCCUUCACAAAAAUUUUGAAAAGAAAAAAAAAAAAAAAUGGAAGAGGGAAAAUGAAUAUCAGUUUUAGGAACGAAGAUAAGUGUGAAGGAGAUUGGAUUCUAGACCAGUGCCAAGGUCAUGGGAUAUUGCAUUGUGCUGAUGGAACAAUAUAUGAGGUGAGAACAGUCGAGGUUUGGAGAUCUGGACCACCAUCAAAACCCACCAAAUUCUCUUAGCUUCUGCUGCUAGCUUCCUUGAGUUAAUUGAAGAAAACUCCUUUGUGUACCUACUGUGUCAUUUCUUCUGAGCUCUUCCUGCUCCUCACAAGGCUGAAUGCCAUUCUUCUGGAAGGCAUGUUCCUAAGAGACAUUGUCAGUAGAACUCUGAGUAAAAUGGAUUACAAAGGGCAUUGAUUACCCUUCUGAAGAUGUUGAUUUGAGUUUAUAAGCUAUCGUUUGACAGCUGCUUCAUCUGGAAAUUGGGAACUGAAAUCUGCUGCUCCUGUAGUUAGCAAUUCUGGAUUUGCAUUGGCUGAUUCACCAAUCCUUAUGGGAGAUGUAUAGCCAGAAUCUGGAUCAGACACCUUGUAUGGAGUAGGAGAUGCUCCUAGCAACCAGGAUGAAAGGAGGCGAAAAGCCAAGUGGCAGGAUAUAUGCUGACAAAGCUGAGAAGAUGACAAUCACAGAAGAAAAUUGGACACAGCAGAUCUUUUCAUAUGGAGAAGAAUGAGUGAUAAAUGAGGUUUCUGUGACACAAAGAGGAUGGAAACACAGUUGGACGUUCAUGCAGAAAUUAUGCUCACUGUACGAAACAAAUAGAAGAAUAAGAGAUAUCUAAUUUGCAUUUCUUACCAACAAAAUGAAUAUGGAGACAUCCUCUGAAACAGAUGGCAGAGUUGUCAACAGUAAGAGAAAGUUUGUCAUCAUUGAAUGCCAAGUUGAGGCUCGGGAGGUUAUAUAACAACUGAUCUGUGAUCUUUAAAAAUGAAUGACUUUUAUAGGAUUAAGGAAUGUGCAACUGAAGCCAAAGCCUCCUUUCACGUACACACCUCAGCGCUGCCAAAAUAACAGACCACACUGGAGAUGAAGAAAGAGGGAUUUUAGCAGGAAAUGGUAAUGAAGAUGACCUUGAAUUCUAAAUUCUUUUGCAUUUUUUGAAGUAUCUAUCACUAUGGAGCUCAGAAGUGGAGGAGAAAGAAGUGAAGAAGUUACAGUCCUGUUCAGAAGGAAUUAAAGCAGUUUUGUGGAGUAGCUUGAUUUUCCUAUUACAGUUUUGACCACUCUGAGUUUGACAGCUGAGGGCAGGAGGAGAGGUGACAGUACCACCUGACUUUGCAUCACUAGAGAGCCUUGAAGGAUACACUCAGAACUACAAGAGCCCUGAAUGCACCUGUAAGUAUACCAUCAACCUGUAGAGAAAUAUUUACUCCAGUUUUGAAGAGAAGAGGAAAGGCUAGACCCUCUGAUUUCUUUAGGUAGUGUGCUGGGAAUGAGAUCUUGUGAACUGCCCACAGUUGGCAUCUAGUUAGCUAUCAAUAAGGACUUACUGCUGAUUCCCAAGAAAAUUUCAUCUGGCAAAUAUUUUGGAUCUCAAGAGACUCUUGCCUGUUGUCACCCAGUCAUAAUCAAUGCUGACAUAGGCAUCCUUAGGCAUCUUAUCUGCCCUAAAAAUGUAGUCACAGUUUUAUUUCUUUCACUGAUGCUUUUUUUCCCCCUCAUUAAAUACUUCAAUUCUUUAUGAUGUAUUUUGUUUCUAAUUGAGAAAUGUUCUUUUUUCCAAUUAUCCUGAUGUAGAACUCCAGAGGAGUUACAACUGUUUCUUUACUCAGACAGUUGAGAAAGAAGAGUGGGGCAGAGGGGCUGUGAUGAAGGUCUAACUAGCUAUGUUAAAAAGUAAGAUACGCCUUUGCUUUGUUUCCACUAGAACUUUAUAUUACAAGAUCUACCUUGAGUUAAUUGCCUUGAUAUUGAAAUAUUACUAUUUUAUGCAGUUAAAAUGUGGCCAAAAUAAAGCGCAUUUUGCCCACCUUUAAACAAACUUUCUGCUCUAGAACUUCUGCUUCUUGCUAAACCUCUCAAAGGAUAUCACCUCAGACAAGCACAUUUCAAGAGCAGAGAAUUAUUAGGUAUGCAGAGAAAUGUCUAAUAUCUGAGAUAUCUAGCAAUAUUUAUAAUGACAACAUGCAGAGGAGGAUAACAAUAGGUUGGUUACUAGUUAACAAGGCUAAUCCUUAAGGUGCCUUCUUCCCUUGUCAUCGUGCUUGUUUCUGCAGACACUGAAGUUGGAGCUAAAUUGGUUUAAGAAUGCAGUUGCUAAGUACGAAGACUGCAUUUAUGCUUCUUGAUAUUAUUCACUUACCUUGACUGUUACUAAAGCUGUGUACUCUGUAACCUUCUUUGCUUUGUCCUGGACUAGUUAUUUAUGCUUGCAGGAGGCCUAUCUUCUUUUGCAUUACAAAGAAUUGGAAAUAAAUACCUGGAUUGCUUCUUCCCAAGCAUGUAAGCUGCAGGGGAGUGUAACUGUGGGGAGCCAGCCUCUGUUUUUUCACAGGUGCUUGUGAAAUUGCCAUUUGGAAGCAGCAGUUUCUCCUGAAAGUUGAGCUGAAGAGUGGAGAGAGCACUGCUAAAGAUUAGAGUGAGGAGAGAAAUGCUGGAUCUUGGAGUCGCAAUGUGAAAAUGUGGAUGGUUUGUGUCCAGCAGAAUUUUUGACAGCAAAGGUUCUUAGUUAAAAACACAACUCUCAAAACAAGACAACUACCAGGUAAGAAAGAGUUCUGAAAAAGUAAACACCAUAUACACUUAUAAUACAACAGUGUAAAAUGAAAAGAAGUAUUUACAUGUUGAAUUUAAUUUUAACUUUUUUUUUACAUUGGCUAGUUCUGUUUGAAAAGCAGAAUAUUAUGUAUACUAGUUAGCUGCUCCAUAGAUAUGAAUGUUAUUGCUGUUGGUAUUUUUUCCCUUCGUUAAGUCUUCUUUCAGAAAUAGAAACAAUGAGUAAUUAAACUGAAUAUACAAGUAUUAAGUAAUAUAUUUUUAUGUACAGGGAGAGUCAACAGCCUGUAUGAAACACCUCUUCUCCCUUUUAACUUCCUAAAGGAAACUAAAGAAUAGAUAAAAUGAGAAGGUGUGACUUUACAAUUCCUACACUCACCAGUUGGAGUGCAAAUGGAAUGCAGCAGGGACCCAACAGUAAGUCAAAAGAAGAGCAAUCCCAUCUGAAAGGGCUAACACUUGUUUUACUGAAGUGUUGCCAGCAGAAAUUACACACAGAACUCACUCACCUCAAGCACCAUCAGAGAAAUUUUUCCUCUGAAGAUUCCCACCAUUUUGACAGACAUUUUCUAGAUUUCGUGUCUCCACGUUUUUUUUCAGACAGCGUAAUUUGUAAAUAAAUUACAUGCACAGGAAUUCUGAAUUAGAAAUAAGUUACAUGCUCUCCAGAAAUAUUAAGAUUUUACUGUUAAAAUGUAUUUUGAAAAGACACAAAAUGAUUUAAGAUGGAAUCCUAUUCUGUAAACCCCUCUUGUCAUUUAACUGCUGGUGUAGAAGGUUUGUUCCCAGUCUUCUUGCACCUUAUUUAAUCGUACUGAUUUUAAACUGUAAUUUCUAGAAAUGUUUUUAUUAGGAUGUUUUCAUUCCCUAAGAUCAAAUACUAAAGACUCUUAACGUCAAGUAUUAUGAAGUUCAGUAGUCAAAUAUUACACUUAAUAGAAUUAUCAUAAUACACAGCAAAAGAAGAAACAGCAUUUUUGUAGCAUAAUAGUUUGUAGCUUCAUUAUGGAGAAUUCUUCCUUGCAAAUCUCUGUGAAACAGAGGUGAUGCUGGUUGUUGCACACUUAUUGAUGAGAUUAUUUACUAUCCUUUUUUUUUCCUUUGAAAAAUUACAGAAUUCAUUCAUUCUGGAGGAUAAAAACAUCAUAUGCACAGAAGAAAUUAUGCCAGUGAAUCAGUGUGUUUGCCCAGGAACGCAAGAAAGAAAAACUGUGUGACAUGCUACAGGUAAAAAAACAUCAGCAUUUCCUAUAUAACAUGCUGAGAGGAAAAAUGAGCUGGAAGGCACAUCUGCAGCCCCAGGUCAAAUUUUCAUCUUAUGCUCAUAAGCUUGAGUGUAUAAGAGGUGAGUGUUUGGGGCGGAGGGGGGGGGGGAUGGGACUUUUCUCAUGUUCAGUAAAGCACCAACUGUAUUUGAUAAGCACUUCUGGGAGCCCCCUCACUGCUGCCUCCCAUGUUGUGUUAGAGACACAGCCAUGCAAAAAAAACAGGUUUAAAAUAGAACCAGUAGUGCACUACUCUGGAUAAUUGUUAUUUGGUAGCAUUCUAUACCUGCUGAAUACUCACUUUGCAUAAAUGUAAAUGAUGACACAGUGUCACAUGAUGGAAAACUGGGUUGAUGAUUUUUCACAUCUAUUAAGCAGGGUAGAAUCUAGAAUGCUCAUCUUGUAAACUUUAAAACUAUGGAAUAAAAUGCAAAGAAAGUUUCUGACAAAGUGCAGUUCUUUUUAAAAAAAUAAUAUUAACAACAAUAACAACAACAGUAAUAACACAAAGUGAUGACAUGCUGCAUUUUCAUUCCGGGGCUGCGGCUUGGAUCCCAAAAUUAAAGUAACUUUUUUUAAAAAAACAAAACAAAACAAAAGAAGGCUUAUUCACAGCAGCAAAAGUGUUGUUUUUCUUUUCUGUAGUAUUCGAUAAUGUGAUGUUGCACUCUCCUUGGGCACAGUAAUCCUGACAGACAGUUCGGAAUAAGGUAAAUACUGAAUUUAUGGUAAGAUGGUGCAACAAGGAUGAGUUUUCCAGAAAACUGAAAGCUGAAGUAAAGAUUUCAGAAUGACUUGAAAAAUGCAUGUGCCUUCUGCUUUAUUUCUCAACCAACUUAACAGAUCAUCCAUUUCCUUCCUUUAUGUCCUUGUUUCUUUUCCCAAAGCUGAAGUGCUCUUGGAUGAAGUGAGUCUUUUGAACACACCAGUUAAUGAAGAUGUCUUUAGAGAAUAUGGCAUGAUUUACAAACACUGAAGUCCGUAAGGCUGGGUUUAUAAUUCUCAAGCAUACAUCUUCUCCCCCUCCCCCCUUACAAUCCUCUUCCCUGCAUCUUCCUUUCUUCAGCACAGGAAAUGAAGAUAAUUGUUUCUAAGAAAAAAAAAUCAACUUUGAAGAGCACUCUGAAAAUCUCAUACAACCAUGUGACAGGGUUAAAACUGUGAUGGCUUCCUAAAUGGCUGGAAAACUGCUAUGAAAUGGCAUCAUCACCAGAGGGCUUCUGCAUUAAGAAUCCCAAAGCCUAUAACAAGUCACUAAAAAUUGUGCAUCGAAGAUUUCUGUUUUGCUUUUAAAGGUUCAUUAUAAAAAAAAUCUUGUUAAUUGUUUUAAUACCAAGUCUGUAUAAUGAAUUAUUUUAAAUAGCUUAUAACAAAAGUUUGUUUGUUUUUAAAUUCCAAAAUGUUCCAACAGGCAGAAGGGCAACAUAAAAACAUUGCCACACUUGCCUUUUACUCUGAUUUUAGCUGGACGAUGCUGCUUGCUUGGAGUAUACCAGUAGAAAAUUUGCUGUGGACUUAAAAGUAUUUUGUUUAUAAACACUUUGUGUUUUAUAGGCACAGUAAGAUGUUGUGCUGUAUGGAUUAAAAAAAAAAAAAAGA